rnacentral:lncRNA from 1 species
GUUUCCUCCAAUUUGUGAGAGCUCCCCAGUCUUUCCUUGCUUUGCAUGACACUGAAUACCAUACUUGUUGGCUCUCUGUUAAUGCAUUUAUUAAUCCAUCUGGUUGACCCAUCAGCUCAUGGUGUCAGACUCUAUGCCAGGCACUGGGGGCUCAGAAAUGAAUCAGGAGAGGCGCCUGACCUCAAGGAGCUCACAGACAAGGAGACUGUCAGAGCCAGAGCAUGAGAUCAGAGCGAUAACAGCAUGGCAGGGCAAGGCCCAGCAUCUCCAGGAAUGACACCGUCAUCAGCAGGGCCCAACGUGCAAAGCGGAUGGAGGUGUGCAAGGAAAGGCUGAGUGCCUCUGCCUUUUGUCUUUCUGAAAAGCCCUUAGCAAACUUUUCCUUACAUCUCCUUGGCCAGAAUCUUAUGUCCAGUCCUAGAUCAAUCACCGAAAAGAAGAAAUGGAAGAGCUGAAACUGGCUUAGAACGACCCGGACUCACUUUUGGAAGCAGAGCACCAUCGGGAUACUGUUUUCUGAGGAAGAGGCCAGAAUGGCUGUUGGAUGGGUGCCUGCCGCAGGCCCUUCAGUUGCUCUGGAAGUUUUUCACUGGGGAAAUAAUACUGCCUCAAACAGUCUUUUGCAUAAAGAUUUCCCCACAUUUAAAAUGGUCUCCUGGAUUUCCCUGGUGGUCCCGUGGUUAAGAGUCUGUCUGCUAAUGAAGGGGACACAGGUCUUGACUCCCAGGCAGGGAAGACACCACAUGCUUCAGAGCAGCGGCACCCAUGCGCCUCAUCUGCUAAAGCCCGCCCGCCCUAGGCCCGAGCUCUGCAGCAGGAGAAGCCGCUGCAACGGGGAGCGCUGCUCAGAGCAACCAGGCGAAGCCUGCACAGCCACGAAGACGCCGCGCGGCAGAGGAUCACCUUCGAGAGAAGAUUUCUGUUUUUGUGAACCUGGAAGAUCCUCAGUGAAGGGAAGGGAAGGAGGACUAAACAGAAACAAGGUGGGAAACAUGAACAAACACGAAGCCCCGCCAGGAGGCCUGCGGCUCUUGCCACGUCACUGGCUGUGCUUCAGCACCCUGUUCAGCGGAACUGGGGCUUCCCUGGGGGCUCAGCUGAUAAAGAGCCCACCUGCCAAUGCAGGAGACACAAGAGACGUGGGUUCAGUCCCUGGGUCAGGAAGAUCCCCUGGAGGGGGA